GUUCGGAUCGCAGGCUGCAACCCGCCUGCGUGAAGUCGGAAUCGCUAGUAAUCGCGGAUCAGCAUGCCGCGGUGAAUACGUUCCCGGGCCUUGUACACACCGCCCGUCACACCAUGAGAGUCGGGAACACCCGAAGCCCGUAGCCUAACAGCAAUGAGGGCGCGGUCGAAGGUGGGUUCGAUAAUUGGGUGAAGUCGUAACAAGGUAGC
rnacentral:rRNA from 1 species